rnacentral:lncRNA from 12 species
AUGAAGAGGCCGGUGAGGCGCCUCUCCCAGGGACGUGGAGGGAGCCUGCCGGGCCCCCUCUGUCCUCCCCACCCUGCCGCACGCCUCCCCCCUCAGAGUCACAGAAAGCCAACCCCGCACACAGCUGGCGGCCUCAGCUUCCCGGCCAAGUUCAUUUUGACAUUACAAGACAAAAAGCACAAACGUGUUCCAAUGGGACAGGCUGUUACCGCGGUGCCAUUCAUCGGGGUUUACGAUUUUCCUGGAGCCUCUCAGCCGGGCGAUGCCAGAGAACGAGCCAGAAAAAGAAAAUUCUUAGAUAACAGUUAUUUUGGUGGAGCCAGGCUUGCCAGAGAAGAAGAUGAUAAGAUCAGAUGCCCUCGUGAACCGCCAGAGAGCCAAUUAGGGGUUCGUGCAGACGGGGCUCCGAUCGCAGUCCCCAGGCGGCCGGGCUGCAGGGAUUUGUUUUGAGCCAGAGGAAAGCUCGAGACGCCUGAAGCCCGGCCUGGGAGCUUGGGUGACCAGCUCAUCCCCGCUUGCCUGGGACUGCCAGGUGUUAGCGCCACAGGGCUUGCGUCUCAGGAGCCUCCUUAAAACUUGGAAAAGCAAAAAAAAAAAAAAAAAACUUGGAAAAGCAAAUCGGUCUUUGCAUGCUUUGGGGGGGAUUGGGAAAAGUGGGUGUAUUCUAAUGAAAGAAGAAACCCGUGCUUCUUCUCCUGCAGGAGAAGUUGGGCUUGGUACCCAGCCUUGGGUCUGUCUCCUGGCAGCCACUCAAAACGUUCUUCCAGGCAAAAGCAGGGGGAAGGAGAGGGAGAGGGAGAUGGCAUGAGCAGCAGCGGCUCCCUGGCGACGCACAUCUAGUUGGGGGGCAGGGAGUCCCUACGGAAGGUGUCUGUAGCACUGUCUCCCACCAGCCAUGACACUGUCACUGUUUGGGGGAUGGCCACCUAAACAGCAAAGUCAUCCUCUCUCUCCUCCCCCGUGUUUGUGCAAUACCAGCCGGAAUCGGCGGCCCUUUAUUAAAAACACCUGGCCGUUAAGAGGCUGUGCCCCACGGCGAGAUAGAACCCCGAUGGCUGGUGGUUUCUACUUUCGGACCAGGAUGUUCCCGAUGGGGACAGCCCCGGCGAGGCGGGGACCAGGCCACCUCUGCCCCUCAUCCAUAAAAGGUUCCUGCCUCAUCCCUCCAGGCGUCAUAGGGAGCGUGGAACGCCAACAGUGCUUGGAAGAUGGUCUAGCAGAUUAGACAUGUAAGAGGG